UACGGAGGGUGCGAGCGUUGUCCGGAAUCAUUGGGCGUAAAGGGCGCGUAGGUGGCCCGGUCAGUUCGUGGUGAAAGCGCGGGGCUCAACCCUGCGUCGGCCAUGAAUACUGCCGCGGCUGGAGCACUGUAGAGGCAGGCGGAAUUCCGGGUGUAGCGGUGGAAUGCGUAGAGAGUCCGGAAGAACACCGGUGGCGAAGGCGGCCUGCUGGGCAGUUGC
rnacentral:rRNA from 1 species